rnacentral:rRNA from 1 species
AACGUAGGAGACAAACGUUAUCCGGAUUUACUGGGCGUAAAGGGCGUGUAGGCGGUUAGUUAAGUCUGGCGUGAAAGCUCUCGGCUAAACCGGGAGAGGUCGUUGGAUACUGGCAAACUAGAGGACGGUAGAGGCGUGUGGAAUUCCGGGUGUAGUGGUGAAAUGCGUAGAGAUCCGGAGGAACACCAGUGGCGAAGGCGACACGCUGGGCCGUACCUGACGCUAAAGCGCGACAGCAUGGGGAGCAAACGGG